CCCUUAGACGUUCUGGGCCGCACGCGCGCUACACUGACCAGUGCAACAAGCAUCCGUCCUUGGCCGACAGGCUCGGGCAAUCUUUGAACGCUGGUCGUGAUGGGGAUAGACUUUUGCAAUUUUUGGUCUUCAACGAGGAAUUCCUAGUAAACGCAAGUCAUCAACUUGCAUUGAUUACGUCCCUGCCCUCUGUACACACCGCCCGUCGCACCUACCGAUUGAAUGGUCCGGUGAAGCCUCCGGAUUGGCGCGCACCUCGGUGCCGCCGAGAAGUUGGCUAAACCUUACCAUUUAGAGGAAGGUGAAGUCGUAACA
rnacentral:rRNA from 1 species